AGGUGCGAUCAUACCAGCACUAAUACACCGGAUCCCAUCAGAACUCCGCAGUCAAGGGUGCUUGGGCGAGAGUAGUACUAGGAUGGGUGACCUCCUGGGAAGUCCUCGUGUUGCACUUC
rnacentral:rRNA from 1 species